rnacentral:rRNA from 1 species
CCGUAGGUGAACCUGCGGAAGGAUCAUUAAAGAAAUUUAAUAAUUUUGAAAAUGGAUUUUUUUUGUUUUGGCAAGAGCAUGAGAGCUUUUACUGGGCAAGAAGACAAGAGAUGGAGAGUCCAGCCGGGCCUGCGCUUAAGUGCGCGGUCUUGCUAGGCUUGUAAGUUUCUUUCUUGCUAUUCCAAACGGUGAGAGAUUUCUGUGCUUUUGUUAUAGGACAAUUAAAACCGUUUCAAUACAACACACUGUGGAGUUUUCAUUAUCUUUGCAACUUUUUCUUUGGGCAUUCGAGCAAUCGGGGCCCAGAGGUAACAAACACAAACAAUUUUAUUUAUUCAUUAAAUUUUUGUCAAAAACAAGAAUUUUCGUAACUGGAAAUUUUAAAAUAUUAAAAACUUUCAACAACGGAUCUCUUGGUUCUCGCAUCGAUGAAGAACGCAGCGAAAUGCGAUACGUAAUGUGAAUUGCAGAAUUCCGUGAAUCAUCGAAUCUUUGAACGCACAUUGCGCCCCUUGGUAUUCCAGGGGGCAUGCCUGUUUGAGCGUCAUUUCCUUCUCAAACAUUCUGUUUGGUAGUGAGUGAUACUCUUUGGAGUUAACUUGAAAUUGCUGGCCUUUUCAUUGGAUGUUUUUUUUUCCAAAGAGAGGUUUCUCUGCGUGCUUGAGGUAUAAUGCAAGUACGGUCGUUUUAGGUUUUACCAACUGCGGCUAAUCUUUUUUAUACUGAGCGUAUUGGAACGUUAUCGAUAAGAAGAGAGCGUCUAGGCGAACAAUGUUCUUAAAGUUUGACCUCAAAUCAGGUAGGAGUACCCGCUGAACUUAAGCAUAUCAAUAAGCGGAGG